CAGCCGCCGCGGGAAUACGAAGGGGGCUAGCGUUGCUCGGAAUGACUGGGCGUAAAGGGCGCGUAGGCGGCGGCCAAAGUCAGGCGUGAAAUUCCCGGGCUCAACCUGGGGGCUGCGUUUGAUACUUGGUUGCUUGAGUGGGGAAGAGGGUCGUGGAAUUCCCAGUGUAGAGGUGAAAUUCGUAGAUAUUCGCAAGAACACCAGUGGCGAAGGCGGCUCACUGGUCCGAUACUGACGCUGAGGUGCGAAAGCGUGGGGAGCAAACAGGAUUAGAUACCCCUGUAGUCCCUGUCUCUUAUAC
rnacentral:rRNA from 1 species